ensembl:lncRNA
CUGUAUAAAGUAUUGCCUCCAGCAGCGGCAGCCAAUGAGUCUUUAGCGGGGCGGAGGUGAGUGAGAGAGAGACUGCAGCUCUCAAUGGAAGUUGCUGUAAGUGCGCUGGACCUGUACACUACAUUAUUUCACUCGCUUCAGUUCGCUGUGAGCCAGAGCAACGCACAGCCGCUUGUUGCUUGAGCUGCUCAAAAGUACGCUUGGGAUACCUUGAUAUCGAUUUAGCCAUUCGCUUUUAUAAUCAUAUUCGCCGCGGCGUUUCAUCAUCAGGCACUGCCGGUGAAUUUAAGAGAGGUCUUAUUAGUACGCAUACAGUUUGUGGGUUGGUUUAGGUGGCUUCAUGCAUGCAGCCGUCUGGAUGGAUGCUUAUCGCUAGUUUGUGUACAUCAGUCGAGCGACAGUUUGGUUGGUUUAUGGUUUGCAACAUGUUGAAAUAACAGCAGGAGCAGCACUACAUCUGCAAAGUAAGAGUGGCGUUCUUGCGACUUUUUGGGGAUUAUAGCAGGCUAAGUGAGUGUGCUUUUAAAGUGGGCUAAAUGCCAUUUACGAGAGGAAAUAAAAAGGGCUGACUGGAUCCUGUAAAGUGAAUCAGUUUGGUGUCAUCAGUGUAAUGCAUGAAUGUAAUUACCGACAGACUCAGUUUAUACAUAAACCCAUAAUGACGCGUGAGCAGUGAUCGCGCGCAGUACCUGCAUUUAACUGUUAAUGAAAAGCACAUUAUUUGCCGACAUCACCGGGAACUUUCGACUGGAUGUAAUGCACGCGUUGUGACUGUCAGUUCUCGUUCAUAAAGAGUUCAACUUGCGGAACGGAGCGCACGCGUUACCGGAAUGGACGCCGGUGGAUCUGAUCCCACAGAGAGACAAUUCACAGGUCUGCCUGAAGCACACAGAGCUGGGAGACACAACACGGCAGAGGAGGAGGACAGUGUUUACUCAGGAGGCGACGCUUCCCGUACUUGCUCAACAGCACUUCUCGCAUGUGCGGACGAGAAUGCCAUCAUGUGUGAUCCUAAGAGCGCUUCCACCAAGACGUUUGCACGUUUCUCCGGGAGGAAUGUCGGCGGGAAUGGAAAGAGAAAGUUUGCGUUGUGCACUUGGAGUUGGUGGGCGUUUUUCUGCAUGCACGUCCACGUGUUGAGAGCGGUCACACAAGGUGAUGUGGCCCCCUACUUCAAAACGGAGCCGGGACCUCCAGAGAUCCACCUAGAAGGGAACCGUCUGGUCAUGACCUGCCUGGCGGAGGGCAGCUGGCCUCUGGAGUUCAAAUGGAUACUCAACAACACAGAUAUCACAGCCUUCUCCCCCGAGUACAAGUACACCAUCUCCUCUCUCCAACGCUCCAAUAUGGGCGUUUAUCAGUGUGUGGUGAGAAACAGGAUGGGCGCUCUGCUUCAGAGAAGAGCCGAGAUACAAGUGGCAUAUAUGGGAGACUUUCUCGACAAUGACCAAAGAAAGACAGUGACACAGGGCCGGGCCGCCAUCCUAAACUCCCCAGCAGUCAGUUGCUUCCCGCGGCCACAGGUGACAUGGUUCAGGGACGGUUACAAGAUCAUUCCAAGCAACAGAGUAGCCAUAACGUUGGAGAACCAGCUAGUGGUGCUCGCCACGGCCGCGGUGGACGCCGGGAGGUACUACGUACAGGCUGUUAAUGAGAAGAAUGGAGAAAACAAGACAAGCCCAUCCAUUUACCUGAAUGUGGCAGAGGCCCCCGCGGACCCUGUGGCUCCAGUGAUUGUAAUCCCACCCCGAAACACUACAGUGGUGGCCGGGGUCAGUGAGGCCACACUGGAGUGUGUUGCUAAUGCACGUCCGGUUGAGAAGCUCAGUUUGGUGUGGCGGAGAAACUCUGUGGAAGUGGCCAGUGGCGUGGGCUCCUUCGGCCGGCGCUUGACCAUCAUCAACCCAACGAGUGCCGAUGUGGGCAUGUACGUGUGCGAAGCCUCACUUUUGGACAGCAGCGUGAAACCGGCAGAGGCCAGAGCCUUCCUCUCCAUCACAGAGGCACCCUAUUUCACCGCUGAGCCCAGGAGAAAGAUGAUGGGAGAGGUGGAGAAAAGCGUGGAUAUCCAGUGCCAAGCUCGAGGGGUGCCCAUGCCGAAGCUGGAGUGGUAUAAGGAUGCCGUGCCCCUCAGUAAACUCAACAACCCUCGCUACAAGGUCAUUUCCAGCAUGGGGCUUCAGGUCAGGAAGCUACAGCCCAGCGAUGCCGGAAUCUUCCAGUGCUUCGCCAGGAACUCGGCCGGAGAGGCUCAGGUCCACACUUACCUGGACAUCACUAGUAUGGCUCCGGGCUUCACCGCGGCACCGGUCGACAUCACUGUCACAGAUGGAGCGGUGGCCAUGUUCACCUGUCAGGUAUCUGGGGCCCCUAAACCUGCCAUCACAUGGAAGAGAGGUAAAAUCCUUGCCAGCGGUUCGGUGCAAAUUCCACGUUUCACCCUGCUGGAGUCCGGCGGUCUGCAGAUUCAACCGGUGGUGCUGCAGUACACGGGGAUGUACACCUGCUACGCCGCUAACUCAGAAAGAGUAAUCAACGCCAGCGCCUCCCUCACCGUAUGGAGUCGCACGUCCAUAUCCAGGCCUCCCAUGGACAGACGUGUCAUUAAGGGGACCACAGCCAUUUUGGAGUGCGCCGCCACCCACGACCCGCGUGUGGCAGUGAGGUACGUGUGGAAAAAGGAUGAGGAGUUAGUGAGCCAGACCAGAGGGGGGCGUAUCACCCUGCAGGAGGGCUCCUUGCACAUCAGUCAAACCUGGUCCGGGGACAUCGGGGACUAUACCUGUGACGUCAUCUCUCAAGCCGGCAACGACUCCAAGGCGGCCCGUCUGGAGGUCAUAGAGCUGCCACAUUCGCCCCGAAACCUACAGGCCAGCCUGAACGCCAACGACAGCCGCAGCGUGGAUCUGUCCUGGAUGAGACCCUUCGAUGGAAACAGCCCCCUACUGCAUUAUGUGGUGGAGCUUUCAGAGAACAAUUCUCCCUGGAGAGUGUAUUUGCCUGAUGUGGACCCCACCGUGACUGGAGCCAUGGUGAAGGGCCUGACUCCGGCCCGCUCGUACCAGUUCAGAGUUUGCGCAGUCAAUCAGGUUGGCAAGGGACAGUACAGCACCGAAACCAACAGAUUGACGCUGCGAGAGGAACCGCCCAGCGCUCCGCCCAAGAACAUCGUAGCCAGCGGCAGAACCAACCAAUCCAUUAUGGUGCAGUGGCAGCCACCUCCGGAGCCUCAGCUCAAUGGAGUCUUGAGAGGCUACGUCCUCAGGUACCGGCUCGCCGGGCUCCCUGGAGAGUACCAGCAGAAGAACAUCACCAGCCCUGAGAUCAACUACUGCCUGAUCACAGAGCUCAUCAUCUGGACCCAGUAUGAGAUUCAGGUGGCCGCGUAUACCGGGGCAGGCCUGGGCGUCUUCAGUCAGCCUGUCACUGAGUACACGCUACAGGGAGUUCCCACAGCUCCCCCUCAGGGUGUGGAGGUCAAGGCAGUAAACUCAACCACAAUUGAAUUUACCUGGAAUCCACCGCCUCAGCAGUUCAUCAAUGGCAUUAAUCAAGGUUACAAGCUGAUGGCGUGGCCUGAACGAUCUCCAGAGGAUGUUAUCAUCGUGACCAUCACCCCUGAUUAUCACGGGACACGCCACCUCGGUUACAUCAGCGGUCUAAAAAAGUUCACCUGGUACUUGACGUCAGUGCUGUGUUUUACCACACCAGGGAAUGGACCCCGCAGUGUCCCCAAACUGGUGCAGACUCACGAGGACAGUCAUAAGGUUGUGUUUCUCUUUACAGAGAUUUUGGACACGUCUCUGAGAGUGAGCUGGGAGGAACCCGUGGACAAGAACGGCAUUGUUACUGGUUACCUGGUGUCCUGGGAAGUUCAGGGGAAGAACCAAUCGCGAGUGGCGCGUACUUUGACCAACUCCACGUUGGACUACAAGGUCACCGGUCUGACGUCCCUCACUACGUACACGCUAGAGGUGGCAGCUAUGACGGAGGCGGGCGUAGGAACUGUAACUUCCUCCACCAUUUCAUCCGGAGUGCCACCAGAACUUCCCGGGCCUCCAUCAAAUUUGGUUAUUUCCAAGAUCAGUUCACGAUCUGCUACGCUGAAGUUCCGUGCAGGGGAUGAUGGGAAGACGACCAUCUCCAAGUGGAUCGUUGAGGGGCAGGUUGGCAGUAUCGGUGAAGAGGAAGAGUGGAAGGUGUUGUACGUGAAAGAGAAUGACCCUGAAGCUCAGGUGCUGGAGGUGCCCAAUCUCACACCGUUCACACACUACAGGUUCCGAAUGCGUCAGGUGAAUAUUGUGGGCCCGAGUCCGGUGAGCGUGCCGUCCCGUGUAAUUCAAACCCUGCAGGCUCCUCCAGACAAGGCGCCCAGCAGUGUGACGGUGCGCACGGCCAGUGAGACCAGCCUCUGGCUACGCUGGGUGCCACUGCCGGAGACUGAGUACAAUGGAAACCCGGAGAGCGUGGGCUACAGGGUCAGAGUGUUGCGAGCGGACCUGCGGGGUGAGGCCAGCACACGAUUGGUGAACGACAGACUGGAGAGGGAGAUCACCCUGGAGGGUCUGGAGGAGUGGACCGAAUACCAGCUGCAGAUCCAGGCCUUUAAUUCCAUAGGCCCCGGGCCCUGGAGUGAGCCUUUGAAGGGACGUACGCGUGAGUCAGUGCCAUCGGGGGCUCCGGAAAAUGUGACGGUGGAGGCCAUGAGCUCCAGUCGCAUCCUGGUAACCUGGGGCUCGGUUCCUGAGCAUGAGCAGAAUGGCAACAUCCUCGGAUAUAAGGUUAUGUACAAAGAGAAAGACUCAGAUUCGGAGGCACAGGUGAAUGUGGUUAAAGGCAACCUGACACAGUCUGUCUUACUGAGGAACCUGCGUAAAUACGUCCAGUAUGAAAUCCAAGUUUUGGCUUUCACACGAAUUGGAGAUGGGCAGCUCAGCAGCCCCCCAGUCUUGGAGAGGACCAAGGAUGAUGUUCCCGGACCACCUAUGAGACUUGUGUUCCCGGAGGUGCGUCUCACAGAAGUGAGGGUGGUCUGGCAACCCCCUGUGGACCCCAAUGGCAUAAUUAUGGGAUACCAGGUAGCUUACCGUCUGGAUUCUGGGGAUCCCAACCAGUUCAUCACAGUAGAGGUGGGCCCUGAUACCCGUCAGUUCACCGCCUCCAACUUGACCCCGGAGUCGGCCUACAUCUUUCGCAUCUCUGCCAAGACGGAGCAGGGCUGGGGAGCACCUGCACAGGCUGUGGUCAUAACUACUGAGAUCAGAGAGCGACCGCAGCCUCCACGGCAGCUGCGGGUGCCUCAGGACCACGUGCAGUCCCGCAAAUUGCAGCUCAACUGGGUGCCCGGAGGGGACGGCUCCUCUCCUGUCCGUUACUUCACCCUGCAGACACGGGAGCUGCCCAGAGGAGACUGGCUCACCCAUUCUUCUGCUAUAAGCCACAAUUAUACCUCCUGGGAAGUGGACAGGCUGAAACCCUUCACUUCAUACAAGCUCAGAAUGAUGGCGACUAAUGACGUCGGCGACAGCAAGUACAGCCAAGAGACGGAUGCAAUUACCACUUUACAAGAUGUUCCUGAUGAAUCGCCCACAAUUCAAGCCGUCAAACCCUCCACGACAACAUCCGUGCUUGUGCAGUGGCAGGUACUAGGUGGUUAUCUCAGGGAUGCCUUUGUUUCUACCCAGAUGUGUUCCCAUUCUUCUUAUCUGCUGUCUCAAAGCCAAGAUGCGCCUUUCAAGCACGCUUAUGGAUCUUCUGUUUGUAAUUUUGAAUUCUCAUCAGAGCUGCAGAAAUACAGACGCUAUGAAAUUGUGAUGACUGCCUACAACGUCAUUGGCGAAAGCCCUCCAAGUGCUCCAGUAGAGGUGUUUGUUGGAGAAGCAGCUCCCUCUGUGGCUCCUCAGAACAUCCAGAUCAACACUUUGUCAUCCACACAGCUGGAGGUGCAGUGGGAGCCGCCCCCUGCCGAGACCCAAAAUGGCAUUAUUCAGGGAUAUAAGAUUCUUUACUGGGAGAUGGACAAUCAGAAUGAAACAGAGAGAGUUAAGAUUCUCUUCCGGCCUGAAACCAACAUGAGACUGAAGAACCUGACCAGCUACACAUACUAUAUGGUCAAGCUGUCCGCCUUCAAUGCUGCUGGAGACGGUCCCUUCAGUGAGCCCAGGAGGGGGCGCACUCUUCAGGCAGCCCCCAGCGCUCCCAGCUUCAUCAGUUUCUCCGAGGUGACCAGCAGCACUCUGAACGUGUCCUGGGGUUUCCCGCUGUCCCCCAACGGUGUGGUGGAAGGCUACAGGGUGGUAUAUGAGCCCAGCGCCCCUAUUCAAGGUGUGACUAAAGUGGUAACGGUGGAUAUCCGUGGCAGCUGGCAGCGCUGGCUGAAGGUGCGUGACCUGACCAAGGGUGUAACCUAUUGCUUCCGCGUGCAGGCCAAGACUAUUGCCUACGGGCCUGAGGCAGAGGCCAACAUUACAGCGGGUCCUGUCAAAGGGUCUCCUGGAUCUCCUGUAGAAAUGUCAAUCUCAAAGACAGGAUCCAUGCUCAACAUCCACUGGACACCAGGAGAUACAGGAGCAGGACAUGUGACCGGCUAUGUGAUCGAGGCACGCCCAUCAGAUGAAGGGAUGUGGGAUACGUUUGUGCGGCACUUGCCUCCCACCAGCACCUCUCACUCAGUGAGUCUAGACCGCCUGCGGCAGGGUAUCAGCUACCAGUUCAGAGUGCUGGCCGUCAACGAGUUCGGCUACGGCGAGCCGAGUGCACCCUCUGCUGCCAUGUCAGGCCAACAUGACACCCCGUUUUAUGAGGAGUGGUGGUUUCUCAUCGUGCUGGCGUUGUGUGGCCUGAUUCUGCUGUUGCUGGUGGUUUUCGGUCUCGUCUUGCACGGACAGAACAGGAAGUACAAGAGCUGUGGAACAGACAGCGAGUGCGAAGAGGAGCCGAUCAAACACUCGUUCGUGAAUCACUACAUGAGCGACCCAUCAUACUUCAACUCGUGGAAGCGGCAGCAGAAGGGGCUGAAGCAGACGCUGGCCUGUUCCUAUGAUGAAUGUGCCAGCGGGGACACCGAAUCCUACUAUCAGACAGUGGUCACACAGCACAGCGUUGGCGGGGUCUACACCCCCGCCGGCCAGCCCGCACCAGGCUCACGGACUCCCGUCACAGGCUUCUCCUCGUUCGUGUGA